GCAGUCGAGCGGACCGACGGGAGCUUGCUCCCUUAGGUCAGCGGCGGACGGGUGAGUAACACGUGGGUAACCUGCCUGUAAGACUGGGAUAACUCCGGGAAACCGGGGCUAAUACCGGAUGCUUGAUUGAACCGCAUGGUUCAAUCAUAAAAGGCGGCUUCGGCUGCCGUUUACAGAUGGACCCGCGGCGCAUUAGCUAGUUGGUGAGGUAACGGCUCACCAAGGCGACGAUGCGUAGCCGACCUGAGAGGGUGAUCGGCCACACUGGGACUGAGACACGGCCCAGACUCCUACGGGAGGCAGCAGUAGGGAAUCUUCCGCAAUGGACGAAAGUCUGACGGAGCAACGCCGCGUGAGUGAUGAAGGUUUUCGGAUCGUAAAGCUCUGUUGUUAGGGAAGAACAAGUACCGUUCGAAUAGGGCGGUACCUUGACGGUACCUAACCAGAAAGCCACGGCUAACUACGUGCCAGCAGCCGCGGUAAUACGUAGGUGGCAAGCGUUGUCCGGAAUUAUUGGGCGUAAAGCGCGCGCAGGCGGUUUCUUAAGUCUGAUGUGAAAGCCCCCGGCUCAACCGGGGAGGGUCAUUGGAAA
rnacentral:rRNA from 2 species